GGGGAUGACGUCAAGUCCGCAUGGCCCUUAUGGGCUGGGCAACACACGUGCUACAAUGGCAAUGACAAUGGGAAGCAAGUCUGUAAGGCGGAGCGAAUCCGGAAAGAUUGCCUCAGUUCGGAUUGUUCUCUGCAACUCGGGAACAUGAAGUUGAAAUCGCUAGUAAUCGCGGAUCAGCAUGCCGCGGUGAAUAUGUACCCGGGCCCUGUACACACCGCCC
rnacentral:ncRNA from 1 species